AUUGAACGCUGGCGGCAGGCCUAACACAUGCAAGUCGAACGAGUGGCGGACGGGUGAGUAAUGUCUGGGAAACUGCACGAUGGGGGGGGAUAACUACUGGAAACGGUAGCUAAUACCGCAUACAAUCGGAGGAGCCCAGAUGGGAUUAGCUAGUAGGUGGGGGAACGGCUCACCUAGGCCACGAUCCCUAGCUUGUCUGAGAGGAUGACCAGCCCCACUGGAACUGAGACACGGUCCGGACUCCUACGGGAGGCAGCGUUGGGGAAUAUUGCACAAUGGGCGCAAGCCUGAUGCAGCCAUGCCGCGUGUAUGAAGAAGGCCUUCGGGUUGUAAAGUACUUUCAGCGAGGAGGCGUUACUCGCAGAAGAAGCACCGGCUAACUCCGUGCCAGCAGCCGCGGUAAUAC
rnacentral:rRNA from 1 species